rnacentral:lncRNA from 1 species
AAGGAACCAGGGGAUCUUUGGUGCAAUGGCUGAUUCUUGGUCUGGCAAGAAAUGAACAAAAUGAGCCUGGACAUCUUGUCAUACCGGAAGUGAGGAAGCUAUCAAAAAAUACUACAGACAUAGCAAAAGGACUUAGAAGCAAACCUGAAGAGGCCAAAGAUAGCUGACUAAAUGAUGGAGCUGGAUGGAGCUGAAUGGAGCUGAAGAACACAAGCAGAAUUGAUCCCAGGCAUUCCGAAGCCUGCCCUGGAGACUAACAAAACAAAACGAAACAAAAUAAGUGAAGGGGAAGGAGUGGAGGCUGGUGGAAGAAGUGGCAACAUUUAGACCUUAAUACUCAUGUGACCUCACUGCCUGGACUUGUGAAGCCUGAGGGUAUUUUAAUUUUAUAAGUAGUACGUAAUUUAAUAAGAAACAUACAGCAGGAUACACCCUUUGUACUACAACUACUGGAUUGCUUUGGCACAGCAAAAAUGCUCUGACACUUUACUUCAGAUUUAAUUCAAUUAAGAAACUGAGUUUCACACAGAAAGAAGGAGAGUUCCUAGCUGCUGGCGAAUCUAUUUAGUAGGUGAGUAAAGGAGAAAGGAUGAGCCUGCCUUGGGCACUGGAGCAAACAGGUACAGAAGAUGUGCAAACAGAUCCAGCAAAAACAUUGGAAAACUUGGAACCAUCUCAGGUUGAGCUGCUUUUCUCCUAACUGAAGAGAGGGUACGUCUGAGAGUCAGGCAAGGGAGAGCCACAGCUGUGGACAGGGGGCAACGAGGAACUAGAGUCUGAGUCUUCGGUGAGGUGGCCUCAGAAGAGAUAAGAAGAAUCAGGUCCAGAAAUGAGAGUUCUGCCUCGCAGGACAAGCGAAACAUAUCUUGAGCUUUCUGUCUUUGUUUUCUUUGAUGUUUUUCUCUGAAACAAUCCUUCAGACAAGAAGAGUAUUAAAUCACAAAUCAGAGGACUUGGAUCUAGUCCCAGUUCUGUCAAUAACAACACUAGCUGAUACAGCAGAAGAUAAUUUGACCCCAAGCAAGUUCAUAGGAUGCAAGUUGGCCAACCCAACAAGUUGGUUAAAAUAUCUAUUUGUUCCAGAAAUCAUAUAUCUAAUCACUGGUUUUUCAAGAAUUGAUCAUUCUGGUGCCUCACAGUAUUGUUUUGCAAUAUUUUAAAUCUUUAGAUGCUUUUGCAUUUUUCAGCAUUCAGAGGUUUAUUUUCCAGUAAAUAAAUCAUAAGCCCUACAUUAUUCAAUUCAUCCUUGUCUAGAAAAUAUCAUUGAGGCAUAAGCUUAAGGCAUUGGUUAACAA